rnacentral:rRNA from 1 species
CACUGCCGAGAAAAGCCUCUAGAUAGAAAAUAGGUGCCCGUACCGCAAACCGACACAGGUAGUCAAGAUGAGAAUUCUAAGGUGAGCGAGCGAACUCUCGUUAAGGAACUCGGCAAAAUGACCCCGUAACUUCGGGAGAAGGGGUGCUCUUUAGGGUUAACGCCCAGAAGAGCCGCAGUGAAUAGGCCCAAGCGACUGUUUAUCAAAAACACAGGUCUCUGCUAAACCGUAAGGUGAUGUAUAGGGGCUGACGCCUGCCCGGUGCUGGAAGGUUAAGAGGAGUGGUUAGCUUCUGCGAAGCUACGAAUCGAAGCCCCAGUAAACGGCGGCCGUAACUAUAACGGUCCUAAGGUAGCGAAAUUCCUUGUCGGGUAAGUUCCGACCCGCACGAAAGGCGUAACGAUUUGGGCACUGUCUCAACGAGAGACUCGGUGAAAUCAUAGUACCUGUGAAGAUGCAGGUUACCCGCGACAGGACGGAAAGACCCCGUGGAGCUUUACUGUAGCCUGAUAUUGAAAUUCGGCACAGCUUGUACAGGAUAGGUAGGAGCCUUUGAAACGUGAGCGCUAGCUUACGUGGAGGCGCUGGUGGGAUACUACCCUAGCUGUGUUGGCUUUCUAACCCGCACCACUUAUCGUGGUGGGAGACAGUGUCAGGCGGGCAGUUUGACUGGGGCGGUCGCCUCCUAAAAGGUAACGGAGGCGCUCAAAGGUUCCCUCAGAAUGGUUGGAAAUCAUUCAUAGAGUGUAAAGGCAUAAGGGAGCUUGACUGCGAGACCUACAAGUCGAGCAGGGUCGAAAGACGGACUUAGUGAUCCGGUGGUUCCGCAUGGAAGGGCCAUCGCUCAACGGAUAAAAGCUACCCCGGGGAUAACAGGCUUAUCUCCCCCAAGAGUUCACAUCGACGGGGAGGUUUGGCACCUCGAUGUCGGCUCAUCGCAUCCUGGGGCUGUAGUCGGUCCCAAGGGUUGGGCUGUUCGCCCAUUAAAGCGGUACGCGAGCUGGGUUCAGAACGUCGUGAGACAGUUCGGUCCCUAUCCGUCGUGGGCGUAGGAAAUUUGAGAGGAGCUGUCCUUAGUACGAGAGGACCGGGAUGGACAUACCUCUGGUGUACCAGUUGUCGUGCCAACGGCAUAGCUGGGUAGCUAUGUGUGGACGGGAUAAGUGCUGAAAGCAUCUAAGCAUGAAGCCCCCCUCAAGAUGAGAUUUCCCAACUUCGGUUAUAAGAUCCCUCAAAGAUGAUGAGGUUAAUAGGUUCGAGGUGGAAGCAUG